GGCGCGCAUUCAGGGAAAUGUGCUUUUGCUAAGUGUUUUGCAAAAAUAGCGGCGGGGAGGAAGGAGACAUGAAAGGCGGUGCGCGGGACCGGGGCGGGAACUCGCCUGUGCGGCAGGGAAAUGGGAAUGUGGAUACCUGGAUGGGGUAUGGGAACACGUGGGUGUUGGAUCGUAUUAUUUCCUGAUUUAGAGAUGGGGUGACUGAGAGGUGUUUUAAGAACUUUUAUUCUAUUUUCAGUCUCAUGAGAAGGGUGAGAUAAUACAGAUGUUAUAAUUCACAUCAUCACAAUCAGAGGUAAACUAUUUCCUAAUUACAAUGUACUAUUAAGUGUUUCUUGGCCUAUCAGCUUUAGCCACACCAUGUUGUAGAUGCCUUAAAGCCAAUCAUCUAAAACGACCCCUCGUGGGUCCCACUACAAUGCAUCUUUCAUGGUUCUAUUUCUCUAAAGUAUUCAGUCUUAUCUGCAAUGCCGUCUUUUGAAACUUGUUUCUAGCUCCAUUUGUCUCUCACCAAUAUCUGUCCUAUUCCAUGGCAUUUCUCAGUCAGCAUUUCUUAUCUCGAAGUCUGGAUAUGGAUGUAUACUGUGUGGGCCUUCUGUCAGGCCCUGAGAACUCUCUACAAAUCCAUUUCCCUCACGUGGGGAUGUGGCUACAUGGAUGUGGAAAUAUGUAGGGAUGCACCUACAGGGAUGUGAUAUGGGCAUGUGUGGGGAUAGGGCUGCAGGGGUGUGGGGUGUGACUGUGUGGGGACACUGCUGUGGGCCCAGGGCCAUCAGGGCCUGGUCUCCUGUCACCGACUGGCCUGCAGAAACACCCAAACUGUCCUGGGUGAAGGGGCUCUAUCUCAUGGAUCGUGGGGCCAUAUGGAGAUCACUUGCACUGCAGAGAUCACAUAAGACAAAUUUCAGCCCCAUGGACUGUUACAGACCAUGUGGGCACCACACGACAGCACACUGAGGCUGCCUGGACUGUGGAGUGCAGGCACGAAGACCACAGAGACAUGAGACCACUUGGAAUGUGUGAAGAAGGAACCUGCAGGACACGGUGACUCGGGGCAAAUGAAGGACAAAUUUCAGGGGAUGCAGUGAGGCACCUCUGCAGGGAAGCCUCCUCACCUCUUCCUCCUUUCACCUUGCUGCUGAGUGUGAUGAUGGUGUGCAGUAUGGACAUACUUCUGCUCUAGCCAGUGACUUGAGGCUGCAGAAUUGAACUGGGGAAGGUAGAUGACUGAAAGGAAAAUGUCAGGUGAUAAUGGUUUCCUUCAGGGCCAAAAAAAGAAGAACCUACUGAUUUACAUAUUUGCACUGUAGCCAGGAGUUUGCCUUGAUGAUCCUUAUGCCUCCCUUCCAAGGCAGCAUAUUCUGUGAUUCUGAGCUGAGAAUGUCCAGUGGCAGAAAGGGCUCAACUGGCUGGGAUCAGGAACGCUGGGGACAUUGACUCCUGUCAGAGGGUGGCACCCUCGUCUUGUUGGCAAUGCAGCUGCUGAGGAGCCACCUUUGGGCAGUAGAGGGAGGUGUAGCUGCAGCUGGGGGUGAAGCCCAGAUCACAGGGCAGUUCUUUGGGGUUGCUGAACUGGAUAUGAGGAAUUGUCUCCAGUCACAUCUUUCCAUACUGCCUGUAGAACCGUUUAUGGUGGUGGGAUUCUGACAGUGCAUUGUUCAUUAAAGCUUUUUAAAUUUAAGCUCAAAUGUGCUUGCAGGGAUACAGUGAGGGGCAUCCUGUUGGUGCUGUUUGUGGGAGGCCCUGUGUGCCUGCCCAGACCUGUGGAACUGUGAGAGUCUGUCUGAAUUUUCCCUCAACUGCCUCACAAUUGUCAUUGGGGGACCACUGAAGAGAAGACCCCGCCCUGUCUAGAAUCUCUGGCUCUGAAGGAGAAAGUCACACGCCCUGAGACCUGAAAGGACAGUGUUCAGUUAUUGUUGUCACAGGUGUGUUUGCUGUAUGAAGAAGAAGGAGCACCAUGCUCUAUUUCCCUUUCAAUAGCCUUGGGAGCCGUCUCACCUCUCGGCCUGGCUGGAGUUCUCCUGAAUUUCGGAUGGUCCCCCACAGAAGACCCUCACCUGGUUUACAACCGCCGUGACUGACAGACUGAGAUGUUGUGACCAAUGGACCAAGAAGAAAAUGGCUCUCAUUUACUGCUGAGAACAUGGACUACCUGUUACAUCUAUUCCCUAUUGUAUCUGUUUCCCCGCCCUUAUAAUUUUCAGUAAUAAAAACCCCUGAGUUAGCUAGAGAUUUUGAGAUCUCCCCGGACGUGGCCUGGUGAGCUUCGACGGCUGGACCUUUGGAGAACAAAGCAGCACCACAUUGUGGUAGCUAUAACCCAUUCCCCACCUUCUCCUCCCUCUUUUUCUUAUCUUCUCCUUUUUUCCCCAGUUCUCCUCACCAACACAUUUUCUCUUGUGGUUAUUUCAAUAAAACUGUAUUUGUUGAUUUUGGUAACU